GACGAACGCUGGCGGCGUGCUUAACACAUGCAAGUCGAACGGAAAGGCCCUGCUUUUGGGUGGUGCUCGAGUGACGAACGGGGGAGUAACACGUGAGUAACCUGCCCUUUACUUUGGGAUAACUUCAGGAAACUGGGGCUAAUACCUGAUAGGAGCUCCUGCUGCAUGGGGGGGGUUGGAAAGUUUCGGCGGUUGGGGAUGGACUCGCGGCUUAUCAGCUUGUUGGUGGGGUAGUGGCUUACCAAGGCUUUGACGGGUAGCCGGCCUGAGAGGGUGACCGGCCACAUUGGGACUGAGAUACGGCCCAGACUCCUACGGGAGGCAGCAGUGGGGAAUAUUGCACAAUGGGCGGAAGCCUGAUGCAGCAACGCCGCGUGCGGGAUGACGGCCUUCGGGUUGUAAACCGCUUUCGCCUGUGACGAAGCGUGAGUGACGGUAAUGGGUAAAGAAGCACCGGCUAACUACGUG
rnacentral:rRNA from 1 species